rnacentral:ncRNA from 1 species
UAUAUUUGCAGGUAGAAAUACGCUGUAUACCCGUGUAACCGAAUUAACGUUUAAGCGACAUGUAAUGUCGUCGGCCAUGGGGCCGCCUACGGGCGGUUUUUUAUGUA